rnacentral:rRNA from 1 species
AUUGAACGCUGGCGGCAGGCCUAACACAUGCAAGUCGAGCGGAUGAGUGGAGCUUGCUCCAUGAUUCAGCGGCGGACGGGUGAGUAAUGCCUAGGAAUCUGCCUGGUAGUGGGGGACAACGUUUCGAAAGGAACGCUAAUACCGCAUACGUCCUACGGGAGAAAGUGGGGGAUCUUCGGACCUCACGCUAUCAGAUGAGCCUAGGUCGGAUUAGCUAGUUGGUGAGGUAAAGGCUCACCAAGGCGACGAUCCGUAACUGGUCUGAGAGGAUGAACAGUCACACUUGAACUGAGACACGUUCCAGACUCCUACGGGAGGCAGCAGUGGGGAAUAUUUGACAAUGGGCGAAAGCCUGAUCCAGCCAUGCCGCGUGUGUGAAGAAGGUCUUCGGAUUGUAAAGCACUUUAGGUUGGGAGGAAGGGCAGUAAGUUAGUACCUUGCUGUUUUGACGUUACCAACAGAAUAAGCACCGGCUAACUUCGUGCCAGCCGCCGCCGUAACAC